CGGCGUGCUUAACACAUGCAAGUCGAACGAUGAAGCCCUUCGGGGUGGAUUAGUGGCGAACGGGUGAGUAACACGUGGGCAAUCUGCCCUGCACUCUGGGACAAGCCCUGGAAACGGGGUCUAAUACCGGAUACGAGCCUCCCGGGCAUCUGGGAGGUUGGAAAGCUCCGGCGGUGCAGGAUGAGCCCGCGGCCUAUCAGCUUGUUGGUGAGGUAACGGCUCACCAAGGCGACGACGGGUAGCCGGCCUGAGAGGGCGACCGGCCACACUGGGACUGAGACACGGCCCAGACUCCUACGGGAGGCAGCAGUGGGGAAUAUUGCACAAUGGGCGAAAGCCUGAUGCAGCGACGCCGCGUGAGGGAUGACGGCCUUCGGGUUGUAAACCUCUUUCAGCAGGGAAGAAGCGAAAGUGACGGUACCUGCAGAAGAAGCGCCGGCUAACUACGUGCCAGCAGCCGCGGUAAUACGUAGGGCGCAAGCGUUGUCCGGAAUUAUUGGGCGUAAAGAGCUCGUAGGCGGCUUGUCGCGUCGAUUGUGAAACCCCGGGGCUUAACUCCGGGUCUGCAGUCGAUACGGGCGAGGCUAGAGUGUGGUAGGGGAGAUCGAAUCCUG
rnacentral:rRNA from 1 species